CAGACGUCCAAUCUCUACCUGAAGUCCGAUUUAAAUUUAGGUCACGCAGCCAACGUGACGCUCGAGGUUCGUUGGCGGCUGCAGCCAAGUGGACAUGAGCAGCGUGUCGUCAGUUAGCCUGCAGCUCCCACGGAGCCGCUGCGGGUUCACACUCUCGUUACACCAUUACAUUACAGCGGCGGGGACACAUCUGCCCCCGCUCACCACCUCUGUGUUUGGGCUUCGCGGGUGUUUGAUGUUCAAUUGUCACAACGAGCCGGCGGCGGUCGCAGCCGCAGCUAAGCUAACGCUGCUUCCACCUACAGCAACAAGUGGAGCUCUCACCGUGUGACCGUCCGUGCCUUCCCAGUCUCCUCCGCCGCUGUAAUACUCCUCCUCCAUGACGACGGGGACAGGGCGGCGGUGGAUCGUCAACAGCUACUCAGCUAACUCCCUCUGUGCACGCCUGCUGAACUCUGUGCUGCCACCGCACUGUCCUCUCGAUGAGGAAACGAAGGGCGUCUCCUUCUGGAAGUCGCACCCGAAUCCUCUGCAGUGAAGCCAGCAGUGGCAGGACCUUGUCCAGAGGGGGUUUUCUCGACCGCUGACAAAGAGGGCAAAGCCAGGCUUGGCCGUACUCGAGGUCUGCGGUUGCGUCCACACAGCCGCAGUGGAAAACUUCUCGACAGAGCUCACACUGCACCAUGGCACCUGAGGGGACCUUUUGGCAAACACAAACACUGGGUGUGCCACAGCUUUCAGCAGGAAGAAGCUUCGAUUCAUUCGAAGCCCUCAGAGCCAACAAGAUCUCCAUCUCCCUCUGGCGGACCUCAGCGAGAGUGGUCAUCUGUGAGGAAAGAAAAUUAAAUAGAUUAAAUAAAAUUAUAAACAAUU